UACGAAGGGGGCUAGCGUUGCUCGGAAUCACUGGGCGUAAAGGGUGCGUAGGCGGGGCUUUAAGUCAGGGGUGAAAUCCUGGAGCUCAACUCCAGAACUGCCUUUGAUACUGAAGAUCUUGAGUUCGGGAGAGGUGAGUGGAACUGCGAGUGUAGAGGUGAAAUUCGUAGAUAUUCGCAAGAACACCAGUGGCGAAGGCGGCUCACUGGCCCGAUACUGACGCUGAGGCACGAAAGCGUGGGGAGCAAAAAGG
rnacentral:rRNA from 1 species